rnacentral:tRNA from 1 species
UAAGUACACCAUUUAAUAAUCAAAAAUAUUCACUGUUAAUGAAUAAAUAGAUCCAAUCUUUAUUAAG